ensembl:lncRNA
CUUGAAUUGUAUGACUGUUACGUUUUUUUUGCCUAUUCUUUUCCUAUUGUUUUGCGUCCAAGUCACGUGACUUUCAAGAUUCCGACCGUGAGAACAAAAAACAUGGCGGACAUUUCUCUCAUUUUUAGUGAAAAAAUCAAUAUUUUGAGUUAGUUUCUGCAUAAAAAUAAGUUUUGAUUACAUUUCUAGCGAGAAAUAUAUAUUUUAUUUUCAUAAUAAUCACUCGCUUGCUCGUUGUUGCGAAGAUUUUUCAGAUCUCGCCAGAAUAACGUGAAACUGCAACGUUUUGGUUGCUAUGGACGCUGCUAUCGCCUACCAUAGCUGUGGCCCCAGAUUCCACGAAGAAGAAGAAGAAGAAGAAGAAGAAGAAGAAGAAGAAGAAGAAGAAGAAGAAGAAGAAGAAGAAGAAAACGAGGGAAAAUAAGCAGGAAAAGGUAAACAAGGAGGAAAAGGAAGCGUGGAAAAAUAACUUGACCAAGCUGAAAAUGAAUCACCUUGACCCCGAAGAUGCCAUAUUCCUGGUUGAUGCGUUCCUGGAUGAGUGCAAGGUGGAUCAGCAUGGACAAACUAAAGGAGGGUCAAAACAAUCCACAAAGCUGUGUGUUUGGCUUGAUGAGGACAAAGAUGGUCAUCCUCUGCCAAAAAGAUGUAGAGCUGGAGAGAAACGAAAGCGAGAUUCAGCUACUGUUUCUUCAGCAAGCGUUAAAAGCGUGUCCUGUGCUCCGUCUACCAGCACAACUGAAGACACUGUGAUCAUCGAAAAUUUUGGUUUUUUUCCCUUAAUACUUGUUUCCUUAUUUGUUAUGUGGUAAUUGCCCAGAUUUAACAUUGCCUUCUUCCCUUUUAAUUUUCAGACUCCCUCAUUCAAGAUGUCCGAGACCUCUUGGGAAGUGGUGCUGAACAACCUUUCCCCUCAGACUGGAGGAACAGGCAAACUACCUCUCUGGAGAAUUGGACAGUAAUGAGGCCCUUCAUGGUGAACAAUAUGUUGUCAUCUGAGAAGCCCAAGGAGGGGGUUUGCCAUCACUGUGGACACAAGGCUGCAGUAGUGAUGUGUAGGGACUGUUUACCGCGAUCACUCUACUGCACAGCCUGUGACCUUUCCACACAUGAGGCCCUGGUGCUUCAUAACAGAGCAUCCAUGGUGGAGGGGUUCUUCAGACACCUGCCGCCAUCCACUUUUGUUCAGCAGCACGAGGGAGGGAAAUUCUCCUAUCAUGAAAAAGAUUGCAUGUUACCAAUCGUUCCUCCCUGCUGCGACUGCUCCACUGGGCAAACAAGCUUUUCCAAGGGAAAGCCAGUUAUUUUAAUUGGAAUGAAUGGAAGAUACAACCUCUUCCUUCCAUCAGUAAACUGCUCCUGUGGAAAAACCUUGCCAGUGACCAUAAGUGAUCUGGUUGAAAGUGGUUACUGGCCAGCCACUGUCAAUUUUGAGACCUUGUACUUGGUGGACUUGUUCACCACGUAUGAGGAUCUAAAAAUCACUGCCCCAGGGAUGUCGAGACAAGCUUUUGUCAGCAUGCUCGAGUGUCGAACAAAACUCUUCGGGCGA